CUAACACAUGCAAGUCGAACGGCACCCACCCUCGGGUGGAAGCGAGUGGCGAACGGCUGAGUAACACGUGGAGAACCCGCCCCCUCCUCCGGAAUAGCCUCGGGAAACCGUGGGUAAUACCGGAUGACCCCGCAGGGCCGCAUGGCCCCGCGGGCUAAGCCCAAACGGGAGGGGAUGGCUCCGCGGCCCAUCACGUAUACGGCGGGGUGACGGCCCACCGUGCCCACAACGGGUAUCCGGGUUGAGAGACCGACCGGCCACAUUGGGACUGAUACACAGACCAGACUCCUACUGCAGGCAGCAGUGGGGAAUCUUGCGCAAUGGGGGGAACCCUGACCCAGCGACGCCCCGUGCGGGACAAAGGUCCUCGGGUCGUAAACCGCUUUCCUCAUGUAUGAGACAAUACGGUACCUGACGAAUAAUGCUCUGCUAACUACGUGUCAGCAGCCGUGGUAAUACUUCGGGGGCGAGCGCUAUCCGGAUUCAUUGAUCGUAAAGCUCGCGUAAGCGGUCCGGCAUGAAGGGGGUCAAAUGGCGGGGGCUCAACCCCGUCCCGACCCCUGAACCGUCGGGCUCGGGUUCGGUAGGGGAGGGUGGAACCACCCGGUGUAGCUGAGGAAUGCGCAGAUAUCGGGUGGAACACGAGUGGCUAAGGUAGUCCUCUGGGCCGAGACCGACGCUGAGGCGCGAAAGCUGGGGGAGCGAACAGGAUUAGAUACCCUGGUAGUCCCAGCUGUAAACGAUGGACGCUAGGUGUGGGGGGACGAUCCCUCCGUGCCGCAGCCAACGCAUUAAGCGUCCCGCCUGGGGAGUACGGCCGCAAGGCUAAAACUCAAAGGAAUUGACGGGGGCCCGCUCAAGCAGCGGAGCAUGUGGCUUAAUUCGAAGCAACGCGAAGAACUCUUACCAGGGCUUGACAUGACCGUGAAGCCGGGGAGACCCGGUGGCCGAGAGGAGCGGUCACAGGUGGUGCAUGGCUGUCGUCAGCUCGUGUCGUGAGAUGUUUGGUUAAGUCCAGCAACGAGCGCAACCCCCGCCGCAUGUUGCCAGCACCUCGGGUGGGCACCCAAGCGGGACCGCCGGAGUCAAUCCGGAGGAGGGCGGGGACGACGUCAAGUCAUCAUGCCCCUUAUGCCCUGGGCUGCACACGUGCUACAAUGGCCGGUACAGCGGGAUGCGAUGGCGCGAGCCGGAGCGGAUCCUUGAAAGCCGGCCCCAGUUCGGAUUGGGGGCUGCAACCCGCCCCCAUGAAGUCGGAGUUGCUAGUAAUCGCGGAUCAGCAUGCCGCGGUGAAUGCGUUCCCGGGCUUUGUACACUCCGCCCGUCACUCCUCCCGAGUCGUCUGCACCCGAAGUCGCCGGCCCAACCAUAUGGGGGGAGGCUCUGAAGGUAUGGAGGGUGAGGGGGGUGAA
rnacentral:rRNA from 1 species